AUAAAGUCCUACAAUUGGCUCCUCUCUGAGGGGGCGUGGCUGGACUCAGCUUAAAGCCCGGCUGAGGAGCAGGAGCCCACACUGUGGUGGCUGUUACACGUGGAGGCAUGGAGGAGUGCGCUUGCAUCUGCAGCUUGGGCUCUUCGCGGGGACGUCGAUGUCGUCAGCAGCGCCAAGGCCCAGCUGAGACGGCAGCGGCUGAGGGCAAGCCGGCUCGGCACCAGCAGAAAAGCACCUCGAGGCGGAGGCGGAGGCGGAGGCGGAGGCGGCAGCGCGGUGCUGUGCAGGGAGUGGAGGAAUCGGGAGCCCCAUGCCGCCCCACGCACUGCUCGCUGCAGGACCUGCCGGUGGAGAUGCUGGUGGAGAUCUUCGCCUGGCUCCCCGGCACCGAUCUGCUCAGCCUGGCCCAGGCCUGCACCAGAUUCCACCACAUCCUGCACAUCGACAGCAUCUGGAGACGGCGCUGCAGGGAGGAGUUUGGCGUUGGUGAAAACUUGCAGAACCUGGAGACAAUCGGUAUGUCUUAUCGAGAAGUCUAUGCGAAGCUGUUCCACCCGUACAGACACAUUUUGGGAUUGUGGCAGCUAGGUCAUGACUAUAGAAGACUGCUGAAUGUCGUGGUGGACGGCUUAGGCAUUACUGGUUGGAUGUACGGGCCUUCCCUUCACCCCCAUCUGGAUGACCCGCUGCAAUUCGAGCCCGCGUUCAGAAUUCGCCUGACGGAGAGGAAAUCAGCCGCGGUGGAGUGCAUGGAGGGCCACAUCAGCAGGCCCCACCACCGCCACAUGCAGAUUCGGAAGGACAGGUUCACCACCCAGUGCGACAAGACAGACCACCUAACAGAUUCACCAACGCGGCUUAGGGGAGGACGGGGGCUGGUGCUGUCGCAGGAGGACACACAGGGGUUUGACUUCCUGGUCUACCACCGCCUCUACCUCCCGCCGAGCCACCCGGACGACCUCAUCAGGCCAGGCCUCUUCCAAGGCAAAUACGAUCCCUUCGGCCUAUCGAUUGUCAUGCUCAGCUUCCAUGGGAAGUAUGCCAGGGUCACCAAGAUCACGGGAUACUCCAACGAGAUAUUAGACAUCCACCUCAAGCGCCGCAUCCAGCUGCGAGAUGGCGAGAUCUUCCGCAACUUCAAUGAGCUCUCCCGCGUGGUCCAGGAGAUUGACGAGCAGGUGAUCCGGGAGCAGCAGCAGCAGCAAAAAAACGGGACUGAGGAAAGCGAGGGCCAUGGCUGGCAGAGCCCUGCCCAGCCCAGCGUUGGGGAGUCCGGGGCUGCAGCUUCGGAGGAGCAGCCUGUCCCGUUUGUUCUGCCUGUGGGCGUGCGCUCAAUGGACCAGAACUACCCCCGAAGCUGCAGGAUGUGUCUCUGUGCUGGCGUGGACACUGUUAUUGUUACCCGCCAUGGCUUCCCCUACUGCAUGCACUACCCUGGAGUCUUCAUCCUGUUUGAUGAGGACCACUUCGGGUUCAUCUGUCUGGAGCUGAAAUACUUCAUCCUGUACGGCAGAGUCCAGAACACCUUCCAGAAUGUGGAGGCACCAUCCCCACAGGCUUUCCUGGAGAUGCUCUACUAGAACAUUUAGUCCGGACCCCCUGGGAGAAGCAGCUUGCAUGCACUUUGAAGAUUUGACCUUCUGACCAGGUUACCCACCUUUGUUUGAUUUUUUAAUCCUCACCCGAGGAUAUUUCCCCAUUGAUGUUUAGAGAGAGCGGGGGAGAGAGGGAAAGACA